rnacentral:lncRNA from 1 species
AGCUUCUCUGGUUAUGGAUGAGACAAUAGUGACUAAUGCAAAGAUCUCUCUGUUGUUUUUUUAAUCAUUGCACAAAUAUUCAUCCUUUUAGAUCACAGCCACAAUUUAGAGAUCCCACACCCCCCCCAAAAAAGAAGAAGUUGUUUAGUUACUUUUAAUAACUCUUUGGGGAGUGAAAAUGUGGACAGUGGGGCAUAUUAGCUUUUGUGAAUCCCAUGGGAAUGCUUGUGCGUUUAAAUCUUAUUUUUUCUCUCUCUCUGUGCUCAGCCUGCUACAGCUGAAGCAGACAGAAUGGAGUUCUGCAUGCUUUCACAAAUGCCCAUCUACCUCAUGUUCCCAUUCCGUUGGUGCCAGCACCAUUGAUAUUUAGUGCCAGCCAUGGCAAUUUUUGACAUAUGUCCACUUGGAUCAAAAUUUGAACCUUUAAUAGCACUUCAAACAGAGAUUCAUGUGCCUUCAAUGGUGCCCUACUACAUCUAGUAGAGAAUGUCACAGGAUCUGGCAUUUUCUUCUAGGCCCAGCAAGCUCACUAAAAAUCUUGGCACACACAAUAUGGCUUCCUUGAGUCACAGUUGCUGCCAGAAUGUUCUUCACACCUUUCUUAUCAGGUACUGCAACUCCCUGAAUGCACCAGAUUUGAAAACAGCGUCUGUCAGAAGAUGAGGCUGCCAGACUCCCUAAGAUGUUGUAAUGAAGAAGAAAUUGGGUGGGCAGAAUGGAGAACAUAUCUUUCUUCCUCUGGAAACCUUGAAUCAAACCAUCCUCAGCCCUACAAACAAUGGCCUUUAAAAACAGUAUGUUUAAAUGGGCCCCUUAAGGAAUACAUUUCAGUAAUUAAGACAGGCUUGGGCCACUGCAACAUACACAUGGCAGUCCUAAAGACACACCGCAAGGAGCUGAUCACCUAA